GACGAACGCUGGCGGCGUGCUUAACACAUGCAAGUCGAACGGUAAGGCCCUUCGGGGUACACGAGUGGCGAACGGGUGCGUAACACGUGGGUAAUCUGCCCUGCACAUCGGGAUAAGCCUGGGAAACUGGGUCUAAUACCGAAUAGGACCACAGGACACAUGUCCUGUGGUGGAAAGCUUUUGCGGUGUGGGAUGGGCCCGCGGCCUAUCAGCUUGUUGGUGGGGUGAUGGCCUACCAAGGCGACGACGGGUAGCCGGCCUGAGAGGGUGUCCGGCCACACUGGGACUGAGAUACGGCCCAGACUCCUACGGGAGGCAGCAGUGGGGAAUAUUGCACAAUGGGCGAAAGCCUGAUGCAGCGACGCCGCGUGGGGGAUGACGGCCUUCGGGUUGUAAACCUCUUUCACCAUCGACGAAGGUCCGGGUUUUCUCGGGCUGACGGUAGGUGGAGAAGAAGCACCGGCCAACUACGUG
rnacentral:rRNA from 1 species